UACGAAGGGGGCAAGCGUUGCUCGGAAUUACUGGGCGUAAAGCGCACGUAGGCGGCUCUUUAAGUCAGGGGUGAAAUCCCAGAGCUCAACUCUGGAACUGCCUUUGAUACUGGGUGUCUUGAGUGUGAGAGAGGUAUGUGGAACUCCGAGUGUAGAGGUGAAAUUCGUAGAUAUUCGGAAGAACACCAGUGGCGAAGGCGACAUACUGGCUCAUUACUGACGCUGAGGCUCGAAAGCGUGGGGAGCAAACAGG
rnacentral:rRNA from 1 species